AUUGCCUUGCCAUAUGUAGCUCUCUCUCUCACAGAAAAAAAAUGCAGAGGACCUUAUUCUGGGGAAACAUGAAAAGGUACAGGAGGAGAAGGCGUUACCGCAGACUAAGAAAUGCGGUUACUAAUGGGCAAAACGCGAUGGUUUCAAUGGGGAAACGUCUUAAGUUUGGGAAAAUUCGAGUGACCCCGAUGCUACAAAUAAAGGUGAAAUCGUCGAUAAUGCUCUUGAAAAAGUUUAGAAAUGCUUAUGUGGAAAUGAUGCUUUGUUUUGCUGGACGUGUUAUGCAGUUGAAUAAUGGCAUAUAAUGUUCACUUGUAUCAAAAGACUAAUGCUUCCCAGUUCUUAGCUUGAAAGCAAUAUAUAAAGUUUUUACAAUCAAGCUGAAGAAUAAUUUGUAUCCUUCUGUAUGUGUACGGAAAACAACUUCCCAGAGAAAAAGUUUCUCUAAGACUCCGUCUUCCCCAAGAUAUUGUGAAAGGAGAAAAGCGAGGAGUGCAUGAUGAAUAUUUUCAAUUUACUAGGGUGCUUUUAUAAUUUGGAAAAGAAGUUUUAAAAAUUAUUGAGUUCUUGCGAUUUUUUAUUUUUUUGGAAACACGAUGAGCAAUAUUGCAAGAUAGGAUGCUUUUUUUUUUUUUUUUUUUUUUGAAAGAUGAUGUUUAAUUUCUUUCGUAUGGUAAUAGGACAAGUUAAAAAUUCGGCAAUAAAAUGCGAGAUUACAACAUCUGUGAAAUUUUAUCACAAAGAAUUAUAUGUAUAAUUAGUAGUGGACAUUUUACUUUCUUUAACAUUUAAUUUAUAAGAAAAUAGAUUCGAUCGAGUUCAAGUGUAAAAUGGUGAUUAAACUACCUUAUCCGCCAAACCAAUUUAUUACUUGUGGCUAUAAUCAAACCAAAUCUUCCAAAACACGGUGGAUGCUGAUUGGUCUAUCUUGGCCUUGAAUUAUAUCCCUCUCCGUCUCUCACACCCUCAUAUCAACCGUGGAAAGACGAAGUUUAGGCAAGCUAGCAUGGAGUGGUACAGUUGCCAAAGGAGGAUAUCUUCGUCUAGUUCUAAGGGAUGCCCUUACCGCAGACUAGACAAUUUUGUAACGGCUUAUGAUGAGGAAGAGGACAAUGAGAGGAGUGCAGUUGUGUUGAGACAAGGACAGAUCAGUGAUCUCAACUUCAAGUACACAAAGAGGAGAGGGAUAUCGAAACUGCCACAGAAGAAAAUGUCGUCGAUCAUGCUUCUGAAAAGGUGUAGAGAUGCUUAUGUGGGAGUAAUGUAUAGGUUUGCUGAACAUGUUGUGCAGUUGAACGGUGGAAAUCCCUACUUAUAAAUGCUCCAUAGUCCUCACUUCUCAGCUCCGAAGUCGUUAAAAGUUCUACUUAAUCAAAUUAAGGACAAGUUUUAGUUUGUGGGUAUGUUGAUUUGGAUUAGGGCUCUUGUAUUAGAUUAGUGAUGUUUUACUUAAUUAUGUAUUUUGCAUAUAUUUAUGUUCAUGAAAUUCUAAUUAGCACUCCAAUAAAUCCAAUAUCAUGUUGAUUCUUUUUGAUAAACUUUCUGAAAAUCAGCGACUAAUUACAAUUACAUUACAUGUACACUUGGCCUGAUGAUUUUCAAACAAACAUUUUCUCUAAAGUUUUGUCCUUGUGUAUAGGUAAAUAUAUAAUUUACCUUGUGUAUGUAAUAUACCUUGUGAGCAGAAACGCAGGACCAAAUUCUGAGAUUCAUCAAGACUCUUGUCAACGUUUUGGUGAUCAAAAUCAAUUUUAUUUUAAAAUCAACUUGCUUUUGUCCAACGAACACUUGUGCUUUCCAAAAAAUAUCUUACAUCUUCUAGUUGCAGCUGCCAUGUUCACUCUGCAGCUAGGUUUGGUCACAGCAGCAGGUAUAAAUGAUAAUGGUCAUAAUUUUCGCACUCCAUUACUUUCUCUUUUUCGGUGUAGGAGAAAAAAUGAGAGUGCAAAAAUUGUUUUCAGAUCAUCACGACAUGAAUAUAAUUAGGGAACUGAGAGAACGGCGGUCACCGCCUCGUUAAUUUGAGUCCAAAAUCACCACUUGCAAACCAACAGCCGGUCAUGAGGGUACCUGCUCCUGAUCCUCCUGUUGAACAACCGCCUCCGGCUGGCACUCCUCCUCCUCCUCCUCCACGGCUUCCAAUCCCAAAUAACAACAAUUUUGCCUGAAUUUCUUCACAACAUUAAUUAAUUUUCUAAUUGCUAUGCUUUAAGCGCCAAAUGCAACGAAUAAGUAGUGAUUAAACUUAGUUGCUUGGUUCAUUAAAGAUUAAUAAGUCGGAAUACGGGGAUAAGAUUGCCAUGCAUGUAUUGUAGGUUUUCCGUUUUAUUUGCUUUUAUUAAUAAACGCAGUUUCCUUGCUGAUUUUCUUGUCACGGAUCAGCUAACCAA